rnacentral:sRNA from 1 species
AGUUGAUUGGGAAACUCAUCAAUUACUUAUGAAAUACCGAGACAAGCUUAGUCAACCGAUGGCGGGCCCCAAUCGUCCUUUUGGGCGAUGGCAUUUAUGCCCAAGGCGGAUUACAAAGGUCGGCGAGCGCUCAAAUCCUGUCAUUCGGAGUUUCAUCGCAUCCUUUGGUGUGGUCC